rnacentral:rRNA from 1 species
AGAGUUUGAUUCUGGCUCAGGACGAACGCUGGCGGCGUGCUUAACACAUGCAAGUCGAACGAUGAAGCCUAGCUUGCUAGGUGGAUUAGUGGCGAACGGGUGAGUAAUACGUGAGUAACCUACCUUUAACUCUGGGAUAAGCCUGGGAAACUGGGUCUAAUACCGGAUACGACCAAUCUCCGCAUGGGGUGUUGGUGGAAAGCGUUAUGUAGUGGUUAUAGAUGGGCUCACGGCCUAUCAGCUUGUUGGUGAGGUAACGGCUCACCAAGGCGACGACGGGUAGCCGGCCUGAGAGGGUGACCGGCCACACUGGGACUGAGACACGGCCCAGACUCCUACGGGAGGCAGCAGUGGGGAAUAUUGCACAAUGGGCGCAAGCCUGAUGCAGCGACGCCGCGUGAGGGAUGACGGCCUUCGGGUUGUAAACCUCUGUUAGCAGGGAAGAAGAGAGAUUGACGGUACCUGCAGAGAAAGCGCCGGCUAACUACGUGCCAGCAGCCGCGGUAAUACGUAGGGCGCGAGCGUUGUCCGGAAUUAUUGGGCGUAAAGAGCUUGUAGGCGGUUUGUCGCGUCUGCUGUGAAAGGCCGGGGCUUAACUCCGUGUAUUGCAGUGGGUACGGGCAGACUAGAGUGCAGUAGGGGAGACUGGAAUUCCUGGUGUAGCGGUGGAAUGCGCAGAUAUCAGGAGGAACACCGAUGGCGAAGGCAGGUCUCUGGGCUGUAACUGACGCUGAGAAGCGAAAGCAUGGGGAGCGAACAGGAUUAGAUACCCUGGUAGUCCAUGCCGUAAACGUUGGGCACUAGGUGUGGGGAACAUUCCACGUUUUCCGCGCCGUAGCUAACGCAUUAAGUGCCCCGCCUGGGGAGUACGGCCGCAAGGCUAAAACUCAAAGAAAUUGACGGGGGCCCGCACAAGCGGCGGAGCAUGCGGAUUAAUUCGAUGCAACGCGAAGAACCUUACCAAGGCUUGACAUAUACUGGACCGCAUCAGAGAUGGUGUUUCCCUUCGGGGCUGGUAUACAGGUGGUGCAUGGUUGUCGUCAGCUCGUGUCGUGAGAUGUUGGGUUAAGUCCCGCAACGAGCGCAACCCUCGUUCUAUGUUGCCAGCACGUUAUGGUG